CCCUUAGAUGCUCUGGGCCGCACGCGCGCUACACUGGUCGAUGCAACGAGUUUCUUUCCUUGGCCGACAGGCCUUGGCAAUCUUUGAACAUCGAUCGUGAUCGGGAUAGAUUCUUGUAAUUUUUGAUCUUAAACGAGGAAUUCCUAGUAAACGCAAGUCAUCAGCUUGCAUUGAUUACGUCCCUGCCCUUUGUACACACCGCCCGUCGCACCUACCGAUUGAAUGGUCCGGUGAAAUCUCCGGACUGGCGUGAGUCGGAGCAAUCUGACAAACACCGGAAAGUUGAUUAAACCUUACCAUUUAGAGGAAGGUGAAGUCGUAACA
rnacentral:rRNA from 1 species